rnacentral:rRNA from 1 species
UACGAGGGGGGCGAGCGUUGUUCGGAAUUAUUGGGCGUAAAGGGUGCGUAGGCGGUUUGGUAAGUCUUGUGUGAAAUCUUCGGGCUCAACUCGAAGUCUGCACGAGAAACUGCCGGGCUUGAGUAUGGGAGAGGUGAGUGGAAUUCCCGGUGUAGCGGUGAAAUGCGCAGAUAUCAGGAGGAACACCAAUGGCGAAGGCAGCUCGCUGGGACGUGACUGACGCUGAGACGCGAAAGCGUGGGGAGCAAACAGG